rnacentral:rRNA from 1 species
UACGUAGGGGGCUAGCGUUAUCCGGAAUUAUUGGGCGUAAAGGGUGCGUAGGCGGCCCUACAAGUCAGAGGUGAAAGGCUACGGCUCAACCGUAGUAAGCCUUUGAAACUGUAGGGCUUGAGUGCAGGAGAGGAGAGUGGAAUUCCCAGUGUAGCGGUGAAAUGCGUAGAUAUUGGGAGGAACACCAGUUGCGAAGGCGGCUCUCUGGACUGUAACUGACGCUGAGGCACGAAAGCGUGGGGAGCGAACAGGAUUAGAUACCCUGGUAGUCCACGCCGUAAACGAUGAGUACUAGGUGUCGGGGGUUACCCCCCUCGGUGCCGCAGCUAACGCAUUGAGUACUCCGCCUGGGAAGUACGCUCGCAAGAGUGAA